rnacentral:rRNA from 1 species
UACAGAGGUCUCAACCGUUGUUCGGAUUCAUUGGGCGUAAAGGGUGCGUAGGCGGUCGCGCAAGUCGGAUGUGAAAUCUUAGGGCUCAACCCUGAAACUGCAUUCGAUACUGCGUGGCUUGAGUACUGGAGAGGAGACUGGAAUUUACGGUGUAGCAGUGAAAUGCGUAGAGAUGUGGAGGAACACCGAUGGCGAAGGCAGCCCCCCUGGGCCAAUACUGACGCUCAUGCACGAAAGCGUGGGGAGCAAACAGG